UGAGCAACCUGCCCUUCACAUCGGAAUAAGCGUUGGAAACGACGUCUAAUGCCGAAUACGACCUCCUUUCGCAUGAUCGGAGGUGGAAAGCUCCGGCGGAGAAGGAUGAGCUCGCGGCCUAUCAGCUAGUUGGUGUGGGUAAUGGCCCACAAGGCGACGACGGGUAGCCGGCCUGAGGAGGGUGACCGGCCACACGUGGGACUGAGACACGGCCCAGACCUCCGUACGGGAGG
rnacentral:rRNA from 1 species